rnacentral:lncRNA from 10 species
AGCUGGGCAUGGUGGCAGGUGCCUGUAAUCUCAGCUACUCGAGAGGCUGAGGCAGGAGAAUUGCUUGAACCCAGGAAGUGGAGAGUGCAGUGAGCCAAGAUUGCACCAUUGCACUCCAGCCUGGGUGAUAGAGCGAGACUCUGUCUCAAAAAAAAAAAAAAAAAAAGAAAAAAAAAGUAUACACUGAUAAGAAUUCUUCAAAUUGAAGAUUAUGUUCUUAUGUCUACCCAGUCUUUCCUUUUUCCUUUCCUUCGGACUCCAACUAGAACAGCAAGGAGCAGAGACAAAGACAAACUAGUCCUUAAAAUGCUGUUAUGGAGACAAAAUGACACCAAACAAGUCCACUCUGUGAAUUGGUUAUGCUGUAAAUUAAUCUUUGUCUAAAUGGCCUUUGACAAACCGACUGACUCCUAGCUGACCUCCUUAGACAUACCCAGUAUCCCAAGUGAAGCUGUUUCAUCGUUUUUUGUUUGUUUGUUUUAAAGACAGGAGGUCUUUCUGUGUUGCCCAGGAUGGACUCCAAUUUCCUGGCUCAAGCGAUCCUCCUGCCUCCGCCUCCCAAGUAGCUGGGACUACAGGUGCUUGCCUGGCUUGCUUCACCAUUUUCAAGUCUCAGAACAUGGGAUCAAUCUUAGACCCAAAGGAGGAUGCUUCUCAGAAACACUCUCUGUCCUGCCGUACGUCUGUCUAAAAGACAGGGGUCUCCCUGUGCUGCCCGGGCUGGUCUCCAACUCCUGCACUCAAGCAAUCCACCUGCGUCAGCCUCCCAAAGUGCUGGGAUUACAGGUGUGAGCCACCAUGCCCAGCCAAUUGUGUUUGUCUUAAUCAGCAUGUCCUACACCACUUCCAUGCCAGGCCACCAGGGAAAGAGACUGCAGAUGUUUUUUCUUUGUGAAAAUUACCAAACUUAAAGAUCUUAACUGCAAAUUUAUUUCAUUGAUUU